CGCCCAGACUCCUACGGGAGGCAGCAGUGGGGAAUAUUGGGCAAUGGGCGCAAGCCUGACCCAGCAACGCCGCGUGAAGGAAGAAGGCUUUCGGGUUGUAAACUUCUUUUCUGAGGGACGGUAGUGACGGUACCUCAGGAAUAAGCCACGGCUAACUACGUGCCAGCAGCCGCGGUAAUGCGUAGGUGGCAAGCGUUAUCCGGAUUUACUGGGUGUAAAGGGCGUGUAGGCGGGAUGGUAAGUCAGAUGUGAAAACUAUGGGCUCAACCCAUAGCCUGCAUUUGAAACUAUCGUUCUUGAGUGUUGGAGAGGCAGGCGGAAUUCCGUGUGUAGCGGUGAAAUGCGUAGAUAUACGGAGGAACACCAGUGGCGAAGGCGGAUUGCUGGACAGUAACUGACGCUGAGGCGCGAAAGCGUGGGGAGCAAACAGGAUUAGAUACCCUAGUAC
rnacentral:rRNA from 1 species